CACGGAGUUAGCCGGUGCUUAUUCCUCAGGUACCGUCAGUUUGUGGCGCAUCACCUUUUUCUUCCCUGAGAAAAGCCGUUUACAACCCAGAAGGCCUUCAUCCGGCACGCGGCAUGGCUGGGUCAGGCUCUCGCCCAUUGCCCAAUAUUCCCUACUGCUGCCUCCCGUAGGAGUCUGGCCCGUAUCUCAGUGCCAGUGUGGGGGAUCACCCUCUCAGGUCCCCUAAGCAUCGUCGCCUUGGUGGGCCAUUGCCCCGCCAACUAGCUAAUGCUACGCAACCCCAUCCUUGACCAAUAAAUCUUUACUCAUUGUGUGAUGCCACACUGUGAGGUUAUGCGGUAUUAAUCCGCCUUUUGGCGGGCUAUCCCCCAGUCAAGGGCAGGUUGGUUACGCGUUUACGCACCCGUGCGCCACUAGCGGUAUUGCUACCGCCCGUUCGACUUGCAUGUAUUAGGCCUGCCGCUAGCGUUCAUCCUGGCCAGGACUCAAACUCU
rnacentral:rRNA from 1 species